rnacentral:rRNA from 1 species
UACGUAGGGGGCGAGCGUUAUCCGGAUUUACUGGGCGUAAAGCGCUUGUAGGCGGUCCACCAAGUUUGGGGUGACAGUUGCCGACUUAAUCGGCAAAGUGCCUCAAAGACUGGCGGACUUGAGGGCCACAGAGGGACAUGGAACUCCAGGUGUAGUGGUGAAAUGCGUAGAUAUCUGGAAGAACACCAAAGGCGAAGGCAGUGUCCUGGGUGGUCGCUGACGCUGAGAGGCGAAAGCCAGGGGAGCGAACGGG